CUAGGAGUAGGCAUCAACGCGUUAAGUGCCACCGGAACGGAAUGUGAACGGUGGACGAAGGUCAUGUGGGCCGCGGUGUUGGUGCCGCAUUCGCCUGA
rfam:Lactobacillus camelliae DSM 22697 = JCM 13995 strain DSM 22697 NODE_37, whole genome shotgun sequence.